rnacentral:rRNA from 1 species
GAUGAACGCUGGCGGCGUGCCUAAUACAUGCAAGUCGAGCGAACAGACGAGGAGCUUGCUCCUCUGACGUUAGCGGCGGACGGGUGAGUAACACGUGGAUAACCUACCUAUAAGACUGGGAUAACUUCGGGAAACCGGAGCUAAUACCGGAUAAUAUAUUGAACCGCAUGGUUCAAUAGUGAAAGACGGUUUUGCUGUCACUUAUAGAUGGAUCCGCGCCGCAUUAGCUAGUUGGUAAGGUAACGGCUUACCAAGGCAACGAUGCGUAGCCGACCUGAGAGGGGGAUCGGCCACACUGGAACUGAGACGCGGCCCAGCCUCCGACGGGAGGCAGCAGUAGGGAAUUUGCCGCAAUGGGCGAAAGCCUGAGGGAGCAACGCCGCGUGAGGGAAGAAGGUUUUCGGAUCGAAAAACUCUUUUAUUGGGGAAAAAAAAAUGUGUAAGUAACUAUGCACGUCUUGACGGUCCCUAAUCAAAAAGCCCCGGCUAACCACG